rnacentral:misc_RNA from 1 species
GGGCCUUUUUUACUCAAUUGCUCUUAUUGUUGAGGGAUUUUACUACUAUUCAUGCGUGAUUACACUACUAUUCAUGCGUGAUUAUGAGCAUAAAACUGAAGAACCAAACUGCAAAUUUUCUGUUUGGUUUGGUUUGGUUUUAUUCAUAUUUCAGUUUGAUUCAGUUGUCUAUAAUUUGAAGUUCGGUUUUUCAGUUUCGGUCCAGUGCAAA